GAGCUCAGUUGGUAGAGCAUGAGACUCUUAACCUCAAGGUCGUGGGUUCAACCCCAUCUUGGGCA